rnacentral:rRNA from 1 species
ACAUGCCUACAACAUAGCAUUAAUGCACCAAAUCCCAUUAGAACUCUGUGGUUAAGUGCACUCAGGCUAGAGUAGUACUGGGAUGGGUGAUCAUUCAAGAAGUCCUAGUAUUUUACAUGCC